GACGAACCGUGCAAACGUUGUUCGGAAUCACUGGGCUUAAAGGGCGCGUAGGCGGGUUCGUAAGUCUGUGGUGAAAGCCCCCAGCUUAACUGGGGAAGUGCCAUGGAUACUGCGAGUCUUGAGGAGGGUAGGGGCAUCUGGAACACUGGGUGGAGCGGUGAAAUGCGUUGAUAUCCAGUGGAACUCCGGUGGCGAAGGCGAGGUGCUGGACCCUUUCUGACGCUGAUGCGCGAAAGCGUGGGGAGCAAACAGG
rnacentral:rRNA from 1 species